AAAGGUAGGGUAUGAAGAAAGAGAAAAAACACAUGGCAGUAUUGUUGGUAAGACAGACCAGUUUUUAAUAAUGAGAAGAUGGUCAGAUGUACAACGUCAUGACGGACAAUCGUCAGUCGUCAGUUGGACCGGGCAGAGGUCCAAGGAAGGCAACAGACACAAGGCCAAGGUACUGAGCUAAGGCUCAAAGGUGAAAAAAAAAAAAGAAACAGACAACAAAAAACAACAAAAAACCCAACAAACAGCAGGUAUAAGGAAAUGCUUUUUCAGACUAAAGGUUAAAAACUGGUAACAAAAAGAGGAAAAGUGGGGGGUGCAUUCACAGACAGAGGAGGGGUUAACGAGACACAGGUGGGGAUGGUCAGGUGAUCACCAUGGAGGGAAUCACAGCAGUCAGGAGCAGGUAGACGAGGAAGGUUACACAAGGUGGGAAUUGGAGCGCCUGAAAGAGCAACACCAGACACAUCUUUGUCUUUGCCUGUGUGUAAAGGACAGAGAAAGAGAGAUGAUUGGUGGACUCCGCCUGUCCUGGCCUGCCAUUGGCUGUUCAUCAAGACACCUGCUUUAAAACACACCAAGAUGGCGGCUGGCAGCAGAUGUUGUUUCUCCUCACUAGCCUCUUGUUUUGGAACCUAAUGCUAGUUUGGUAACGUGUUGUUGUCCAAUGGAAAGACUUCUUCUUUUGACCUUUGAUUGAAUUCGUCUUUCAGUUUCUGCGUUGGCUCCAGAAGAGCCAACAUCCCGCCUACCUUCAAAUCCACAUCCCCUCCUGCAGGCCCUGUGACAACCCACUGAGCACAGAGACAGGAAAUGGAGCAGAGAGACGCGACACCCAGCACGAAACUGGAACCAAACCCCUCUGACACACACAUCUGCGAGGAUCCACCGCCGGGAAGCCCUCUUUGUUUUCUAACGUGUCACCCCAGAGAUGCUUUUCUGCUUCACUCUCAAUUGAUUAUUCCGCACGCAUCCGAUAUUCUUCCUUUUAUAGGUUAAAAAAAAAAAAAAAAAAAGCUGAAAAUGCUUCUCGUGUCUGGAAAUAUUUUCAGGCUCUCUCUGCUCUCUUAGCUGUGAAUGUUCACAAUGUUCCUUUUAAUAAAAUCCUUUAUUGACUCGUCCUCAUCUCCAGAGUUUCAUUCCUACAAUAAUCAAACCAAGUGUUUUUAAAUGUGCAAACGAUUGUUUCCA